UGCUUCCUUUACCAACCAAUGAUUAGGCCUAACUAAUCUUGAUACAUAUUUAGGCCAGAGAAAGGUAUGCAUGAAUUUAACUAAAAGUAGUUUUCUCUCCAUUGUUUCAGUUGAUAACUCUGCAGCUUUGGUGGAAGUUAUUAUUUGGUAGCAGUGAAUAAUUUGCCUACGGUACCAAUUCUCCCGAGUGACAAAGUGGCUGUUUAGCAGCCUGUAGGCUGGGAAGGAGGAAUAAAUUUUUCUUUUGCAAUCUGCAUCUGAAGCCAGCUAUCUUGCAGGCAGAACCGGUACGCAAGAACACUAGGAUCGUGGUGUAAUGGAAAUAUAUGUUGUUGCUACUAUAAUCAAGAAUUGGGGUCGCCCAGCAAAGUUUAGUAUUGAUGCAAGGAACAAUAGAAAACUCAAGAAGGCCAUUUGGGAGAUGAAGAAGACCAGAAUUAUUUUUUUUGUAAAUUGUACAUAUCUUUUUUAUAUUUGUGUUUAAAUAAUUUUUAAUUAAACUUAUUUUAUCAUACAAACAAACUUUUUUCUUUAAAAUGUUUUCCUUGAAU